GGGCGGAUAGCUCAGCCGGGAGAGCGCCUGCCUUACACGCAGGAGGUCGCGGGUUCGAGCCCUGCUCCGCCCACCA
rnacentral:tRNA from 1 species